CAUCUCCGUACAUAGGAAGAAGGCGAGACUCGUGAGAGUGACCGUGUAUAACACCGAGCCUGUAAUCAGAGAAACAGAAAUCUACGUCAGAAUAAUUCGCGGCUGAAGCCGAUAAAGUCACCGGACCACGAUUGAAGAAAGGUCGCGCGCCAUUUUGCACCCGAGAGAGGGAUAGAGCGAGAAACGUACGCGAAGAGGGAAAGAAGGGGACGAGGUCCUUCCGCACUUUCACACUCGGCGUAUAGGUACCUACACGGAUACGUAGGUACCAACCAUUGCACCUACGCAUCAAUUUAACAGCGACCAAUAGUCGCCCCCGCAGUAGGAAAUGGGUUGCAAAUCGGAGAAUCAAGAUUUAUUGUGCAAUUAAAUGUCACUGCUUGUGACUUCCCUCGUGAUUCCCUUCGCACGUUGCAAGCUUACCCCCCAGUGCGUACAGUCUUUCGAAAAUGUUUUCCUACACGUGACUCGCAGCGCUCCACAAUAAAAUAAGUGCAACAAUAAUGUAGCGAAUCUGUUGUAAACGCAAAAUACGAAAAUAUCCAAAAUAAAAGAGAAAGAAGAGAAAAAUAAAA